GCCUGAGCCUGAACCUGAGAGGGAGCGGAGAGAGAGACAUAAGAAGUGGAUCGUUCGGACAUUUGGUUGAACUGCAUAUUUUUUGCCCCAAUCUCAAGUCAUCACAGAUUGGACAUUGUUCUGGCAGACAACGGAACCACCAGCUGUGAUUAUCUGGAGAUUAUCGGGACGCUAGCACGUCGUAACAUCUGGAUGCAUUGGAGUUCUACUCCGUGAAAAUUAAUCUAUGGAGAAUUAUAACAUCAUUCAACGGUAUCUUGUACUAAAAGCGCAUGUAGCAUCACGCACUUGUAAAAACACGUCAAUCAGAUCAUCACUGUUACAGGCAUUUUAGUCUGACAGAUUAAGAUUAGUGUGGAGGAAAAGUGAACCCCACCACUAUUGGACCUCAUCUGGGGCACAGGGUGCACAGAUACGGAACGGAAACGGUCGAGCUUGCCUCCCAUCGAACUUUUUGCCUUCGAUGAAAAGGCCCAUCGGUUGUGCCAAGUUCCUUCAAAUCACUUGUGUAAUGGAAGGUCCCACAGAACGCUUUUCCAACUGUGUGCAUCAAAUCAUAGAAAUGAUCCACUGAAAAACCCCCUUUGAACAUCUGAGCCUCCCUCUGAUGUGCGCAUUGUCGUACUUUCUUUAAGCAUAUACAAACUGAGUAGGAUGCUCUCGGUAACGAUUGCGGAGCUGCUGCUUGAUUGUGAACAGUUCGGUCCUUCUGCGCCGAAGUCUAUUGAAAUAUACAAAGACAAAUUUCUCUUUCUAGGUCUCCCUUCAUUCGGUCUAAUUUCCACCACAAACGUGGCGACGAGGAUGUGACGUCUGAUUCCAGCGGGGCCCGGCCAGCGAUCGCAUCCCUCCAGGACGAGAAUCAAAACGCGUGAAGACCAAAAGAAAAGACUGACAAACAAUUUAAAUGUUGGGGAAACCGUUCCAGUGCAGUGAAGCAGGGAAGUCCGAUGCUUGCAACCCUCGCUCGGACAGUGUGGUGUUUAACUGGACUUCCAAGGUUAAACAGAAGCACUUAAGGGGUAGACAGACGUGUGUUAAGUUACUGACGGGUUGGUCGGGACUAGGGAAUGAGGACAAACAACACCAAUGCUCGCGGCCGAACCCAAGACACCAGAAAAUAUUAAUCACCAUUAUGCCAAUUCAUGAGAUUGCAGACAGCCUGUGGGUGGAACUGGGAUUCCCAGAGGAAGGCAGUUUGAGUCAGGCAACAGACGAAAGAGAUCGAGAGAAAAGGGACGUAAAUGGUGGGAUGAUGGGAUGGGAUGACUAUGAACAUUUGAACAUUGUCAAAGAAAAAUGGAAAAAAGGAGGCAUUUAACCCUUCAUUGCAGAUUGGGAAGUUUAUGCAGGCUGGAAGGAUGAAAGCUGAUAAGCACGACCCGAACAACAACAAAAGAAAUCCCCUAACUAUCCUCUCCUCUCCGAGAUGCUGACGAUACCGCAAAAGGGAAAUGGAGCGUGCAGACUCGGCAGCCUAAACGUCUGCUUCCUAAACCAUGUUCCCAUCAUGCUUUCAGUUCCCUCCUCUCUUACAGCCAUGCAGUCACGGCCUUCUUCAGAUGAGGCGUCGAUGGUCCUCCUCCAACUCCACAUUCACGGACGCUACCCGGUAUGGUCCGAACGGUAACCCUGGUUUACCUGAACAUUUUUUCCCCACAUUAUGCGAAAUUGACUCAUGGCUUAGACCACGUGGGGGGAAUGUUAAGUGUCAUUGAUGCAACGUGGUUCACAAAGCUUACGCUGUUAGACCGCUUGAACAUGUAAUGAUGGACUUUGUGCAGCUCUCCCCAUCAGAAGUUUGUCUGGUGUAGGAAAACAGGUUGGAGCUGCAGCGAGAGAAGCCACAGGUCCUCUGCACCAACUGCGACCAGGUGAUUUCCUGGUGGUGAAAGACUUCAGGAGAAAGAGCUGGAAAGCAAAGCUGUGCGAGGUGCAUUCCAGCUACUACUCGUCAGAGAAACCCGAUACACGCCACCCACGGACAACACGUUCUAGCUCCAGCAGGACCCAGCCAGUACAGCUGGAAUACCACCAAGAGACAGACGUCACAUCCAUGACGUGAUGUUCAAAUCACGAGAGAAGGUUUUCUUCUGUGUCAGAUUGAGGUUAACAAAGGGCGUCUAGAUAUACAAGUCAUGAUUAGAAUGUGUUAGGGUUCGGCAUAAUUCAAAUUCCAUUUAUGUCUAAUAUAUUUACGUAAUAAAUGUUCCUGAUAUUAAGGUA